rnacentral:rRNA from 1 species
GUAGGUGGCUUGUAAAGUGAAUAGUGAAAUCUGGGGGCUCAACCUCACAGGCUAUUAUUCAAACUCACAAGCUCGAGAAUGAUAGAGGUAACNUGGAAUUUCUGAAGUAGGGGUAAUAUCCGUAGAUAUCAGAAGGAACACCAAUGGCGUAGGCAGGUUACUGGAUCAUUUCUGACACUGAGGCACGAAAGCGUGGGGAGCGAACCGGAUUAGAUACCCGGGUAGUCCACGCCGUAAACGAUGGGUACUAGCUGUUGGAGGUAUCGACCCCUUCAGUAGCGAAGCUAACGCGUUAAGUAUCCCGCCUGUGGAGUACGGUCGCAAGACUAAAGCAUAAAGGAAUUGACGGGGACCCGCACAAGCGGUGGAUCAUGUUCUUCAAUUCGAUGCUAAACGAAGAACCUUACCAGGGCUUGACAUCCUUGGAAUUUCUCCGAAAGGAGAGAGUGCUUUAUUGAACCAAGUAACAGAUGAUGCAUGGCCGUCGUCAGCUCGUGUCGUGAGAUGUUUGGUUAAGUCCAUCAACGAGCGCAACCCUUGUGAUUAGUUGUAUUUUUCUAAUCAUACUGCCCCGGAAACGGGGAGGAAGGAGGGGAUGAGGUCAGGUCAGUAUUUCUCUUACGUCCUGGGCUAGAAACGUGAUACAAUGGCUGGUACAAUGCGCCGCGAAGC